GACGAACGCUGGCGGCGUGCUUAACACAUGCAAGUCGAACGGAAAGGCCCUGCUUUUGUGGGGUGCUCGAGUGGCGAACGGGUGAGUAACACGUGAGUAACCUGCCCUUGACUUUGGGGUAACUUCAGGAAACUGGGGCUAAUACCGGAUAGGAUCUCCUGCUGCAUGGUGGGGGUUGGAAAGUUUCGGCGGUUGGGGAUGGACUGGCGGCUUAUCAGCUUGUUUGUGGGGUAGUGGCUUACCAAGGCUUUGACGGGUGGGCCGCCUGAGAGGGUGAACGGCGACAUUGGGACUGAGAUACGGCCCAGACUCCUACGGGAGGCAGCAGUGGGGAAUAUUGCACAAUGGGCGGAAGCCUGAUGCAGCAACGCCGCGUGCGGGAUGACGGCCUUCGGGUUGUAAACCGCUUUCGCCUGUGACGAAGAGUGAGUGACGGUAAUGGGUAAAGAAGCACCGGCUAACUACGUG
rnacentral:rRNA from 1 species